rnacentral:rRNA from 1 species
UACGGAAGGCAGCAGUGGGGAAUAUUGCACAAUGGGCGCAAGCCUGAUGCAGCCAUGCCGCGUGUAUGAAAAAGGCCUUCGGGUUGUAAAGUACUUUCAGUCGUGAGGGAGGUGUUAAGGUUAAUAACCUUAGCAAUUGACGUUAGCGACAGAAGAAGCACCGGCUAACUCCGUGCCAGCAGCCGCGGUAAUACGGAGGGUGCGAGCGUUAAUCGGAAUUACUGGGCGUAAAGGGCACGCAGGCGGUUAAUUAAGUUGGAUGUGAAAUCCCCGGGCUUAACCUGGGAAUGGCAUUCAAGACUGGUUAGCUAGAGUCUUGUAGAGGGGGUAGAAUUCCAUGUGUAGCGGUGAAAUGCGUAGAGAUGUGGAGGAAUACCGGUGGCGAAGGCGGCCCCUGGACAAAGACUGACGCUCAUGUGCGAAAGCGUGGGGAGCGAAACAGGGAUUAGAUACC